ACACUCACACACACACACACACACACACACACACACACACACACACACACACACACACACACACACACACACACACACACACACACACACACACACACACACACACACACACACACACUCCCCUCUACACGCUCCCCACACACACCCUCAAACUCACAUUCCUCAAGACAUGCUCCGGAAAACACACACACACAAACCAGCUGGGGGAGGAAUCUGACCCUACGAUAACUCUAACAUCGUCCCUACACAAUGACAUCAUCCCUACACAACCUCUGCUAUUUUGUCUCGGUACAACAACAUGUGCUGUGUGAAGCCUGUGGAGUUUUGCGUUGGAACCUUCCAGAAGGACAACCAUCUCUGCAGCCCUCCACCAAUCAGGCAUUUACGGUAGAGUGGCCAGACGGAAGACACUCCUUAGAAAAAGGCAAAUGACAGCCCACAUGGAGUUUGCAAAAGGUACCUAAAGGACUCUCAGGUCAUGAGAAACAAGAUUCUCUGGUCUGAUGAAACCAAGAUUGGACACUUUGGCCUGAAUGCCAAGCGUCACAUACAGAAGAAACCUGGCACCAUCCCCACGGUGAAGCAUGGUGGUGGCAGAAUCAUGCUGUGGAGAUGUUUUUCAGCGACAGGGACUGGGAGACUAAUCAGGAUCGAGGGAAAGACGAAAAGAGCAAAGUACAGAGAGAUCCUUGAUGAUAACCAGCUCCAAAGCUUAGGACCUCAGACUGGGGCAAAGGUUCUCCAUCCAACAGGACAUCUCUGGAGAGAUCUGAAAAUAGCUGUGCAGCGAAGCUCCCCAUCCAAACUGACAGAGCUUGAGAGGAUCUUCAGAGAAGAAUGGGAGAAACUCCCCAAAUAUAGGUGUGCCAAGCUUUUUAAUACAUAUGCAAACAUUUCUAAACAUUUCUAAAAACCUGAUUUUGCGUUGUCAUUAUGGGGUAUUAUGUGUAGAUUGAUGAGGGGAAGAAACAAUUGAAUCCAUUUUAGAAUUAGGCGGUAACAUAACAUGUGGGAAAAGUAAAGGGGUCUGCAGUGUAUAUAGCUUGGAGCAACCGAAUGACAUUUAUGGUGAGUUUGGACAUUUACAAGCGAAUGUGAAUGAGAGACACUGUGCAAAUGAACAACGUUUUGACACAUGCUUGUCUGAGGUUAGAAGCAGCAUGUGAACUGUUGUGGAAAUUCUAAACAAUUGAGAGAGACUUUGUUAUUUCUUCAAACAAUCCAUCUUUAUUAAUAAGAAUUGCAAUAAUGAAGCUGGUCAGUCAUGCACCCUGAAGUGUAAGGCUAAGAGCUCGAUGACACAAUGAGUACAUGUAACAGUACUCUUCUGGCGUUGUGUACAUCAGUCAUCGACACGGAACUCCAAUAUGUAGCACCAAUCAUGUAGCUUUAUUCUGAUAAGAACGACACAAAAUUGCACGUCAUGCAAUGCCCGUCUCACCAUCCAACUCUGCACUCCCGCACGCUGGUUUGGUGCUUGUUCACUGGGACGAUUCUAACUGGAACAUCCCCCCUCGUAAGCAAGCUACGCAAACCAGCCAAUAAGAUGCCAUGUUGAGUAGGUGAAGGCAAGACAAACUCAAACCAAAAACCCAUUGGCUUAACAAUAAAGUGGCAAGGGGAAUCACCAAUAUAACCCUGUUACAUACAGAAGCCUUAUAUAGUCAAACUAUCUUACACAAGCACAUACAAAACAUUUUGGUAUGUGUUCAUGUAUGGUGAAUGAGACUAAACUAUGAUAGAAGGUGCAGACUAACUGUAAAUUGGUCGUCUCGUUCUGUAGCAACAGCUAGUUAUUCUACUCUUCUAGUGAGAUCUCAAAACAACAGCUAGUUAUUCUACUCUUCUAGUGAGAUCUCAAAACAACAGCUAGUUAUUCUACUCUUCUAGUGAGAUCUCAAAACAACAGCUAGUUAUUCUACUCUUCUAGUGAGAUCUCAAAACAACAGCUAGUUAUUCUACUCUUCUAGUGAGAUCUCAAAACAACAGCUAGUUAUUCUACUCUUCUAGUGAGAUCUCAAAACAACAGCUAGUUAUUCUACUCUUCAGGUGAGAUCUCAAAACAACAGCUAGUUAUUCUACUCUUCUAGUGAGAUCUCAAAACAACAGCUAGUUAUUCUACUCUUCUAGUGAGAUCUCAAAACAACAGCUAGUUAUUCUACUCUUCAGGUGAGAUCUCAAAACAACAGCUAGUUAUUCUACUCUUCUAGUGAGAUCUCAAAACAACAGCUAGUUAUUCUACUCUUCUUGUGAGAUCUCAAAACAACAGCUAGUUAUUCUACUCUUCUAGUGAGAUCUCAAAACAACAGCUAGUUAUUCUACUCUUCAGGUGAGAUCUCAAAACAACAGCUAGUUAUUCUACUCUUCUAGUGAGAUCUCAAAACAACAGCUAGUUAUUCUACUCUUCAGGUGAGAUCUCAAAACAACAGCUAGUUAUUCUACUCUUCUAGUGAGAUCUCAAAACAACAGCUAGUUAUUCUACUCUUCUAGUGAGAUCUCAAAACAACAGCUAGUUAUUCUACUCUUCUAGUGAGAUCUCAAAACAACAGCUAGUUAUUCUACUCUUCAGGUGAGAUCUCAAAACAACAGCUAGUUAUUCUACUCUUCUAGUGAGAUCUCAAAACAACAGCUAGUUAUUCUACUCUUCUAGUGAGAUCUCAAAACAACAGCUAGUUAUUCUACUCUUCUAGUGAGAUCUCAAAACAACAGCUAGUUAUUCUACUCUUCUAGUGAGAUCUCAAAACAACAGCUAGUUAUUCUACUCUUCUAGUGAGAUCUCAAAACAACAGCUAGUUAUUCUACUCUUCUUGUGAGAUCUCAAAACAACAGCUAGUUAUUCUACUCUUCUAGUGAGAUCUCAAAACAACAGCUAGUUAUUCUACUCUUCUUGUGAGAUCUCAAAACAACAGCUAGUUAUUCUACUCUUCAGGUGAGAUCUCAAAACAACAGCUAGUUAUUCUACUCUUCUAGUGAGAUCUCAAAACAACAGCUAGUUAUUCUACUCUUCUAGUGAGAUCUCAAAACAACAGCUAGUUAUUCUACUCUUCCAGGUGAGAUCUCAAAACAACAGCUAGUUAUUCUACUCUUCUAGUGAGAUCUCAAAACAACAGCUAGUUAUUCUACUCUUCAGGUGAGAUCUCAAAACAACAGCUAGUUAUUCUACUCUUCUAGUGAGAUCUCAAAACAACAGCUAGUUAUUCUACUCUUCUAGUGAGAUCUCAAAACAACAGCUAGUUAUUCUACUCUUCAGGUGAGAUCUCAAAACAACAGCUAGUUAUUCUACUCUUCUAGUGAGAUCUCAAAACAACAGCUAGUUAUUCUACUCUUCUAGUGAGAUCUCAAAACAACAGCUAGUUAUUCUACUCUUCAGGUGAGAUCUCAAAACAACAGCUAGUUAUUCUACUCUUCUAGUGAGAUCUCAAAACAACAGCUAGUUAUUCUACUCUUCAGGUGAGAUCUCAAAACAACAGCUAGUUAUUCUACUCUUCUAGUGAGAUCUCAAAACAACAGCUAGUUAUUCUACUCUUCUAGUGAGAUCUCAAAACAACAGCUAGUUAUUCUACUCUUCCAGGUGAGAUCUCAAAACAACAGCUAGUUAUUCUACUCUUCUAGUGAGAUCUCAAAACAACAGCUAGUUAUUCUACUCUUCAGGUGAGAUCUCAAAACAACAGCUAGUUAUUCUACUCUUCUAGUGAGAUCUCAAAACAACAGCUAGUUAUUCUACUCUUCUAGUGAGAUCUCAAAACAACAGCUAGUUAUUCUACUCUUCAGGUGAGAUCUCAAAACAACAGCUAGUUAUUCUACUCUUCUAGUGAGAUCUCAAAACAACAGCUAGUUAUUCUACUCUUCUAGUGAGAUCUCAAAACAACAGCUAGUUAUUCUACUCUUCAGGUGAGAUCUCAAAACAACAGCUAGUUAUUCUACUCUUCUAGUGAGAUCUCAAAACAACAGCUAGUUAUUCUACUCUUCAGGUGAGAUCUCAAAACAACAGCUAGUUAUUCUACUCUUCUAGUGAGAUCUCAAAGCAACAGCUAGUUAUUCUACUCUUCUAGUGAGAUCUCAAAACAACAGCUAGUUAUUCUACUCUUCAGGUGAGAUCUCAAAACAACAGCUAGUUAUUCUACUCUUCUAGUGAGAUCUCAAAACAACAGCUAGUUAUUCUACUCUUCUAGUGAGAUCUCAAAACAACAGCUAGUUAUUCUACUCUUCUAGUGAGAUCUCAAAACAACAGCUAGUUAUUCUACUCUUCUAGUGAGAUCUCAAAACAACAGCUAGUUAUUCUACUCUUCUAGUGAGAUCUCAAAACAACAGCUAGUUAUUCUACUCUUCUUGUGAGAUCUCAAAACAACAGCUAGUUAUUCUACUCUUCUAGUGAGAUCUCAAAACAACAGCUAGUUAUUCUACUCUUCAGGUGAGAUCUCAAAACAACAGCUAGUUAUUCUACUCUUCUAGUGAGAUCUCAAAACAACAGCUAGUUAUUCUACUCUUCUAGUGAGAUCUCAAAACAACAGCUAGUUAUUCUACUCUUCAGGUGAGAUCUCAAAACAACAGCUAGUUAUUCUACUCUUCUAGUGAGAUCUCAAAACAACAGCUAGUUAUUCUACUCUUCAGGUGAGAUCUCAAAACAACAGCUAGUUAUUCUACUCUUCUAGUGAGAUCUCAAAGCAACAGCUAGUUAUUCUACUCUUCUAGUGAGAUCUCAAAACAACAGCUAGUUAUUCUACUCUUCAGGUGAGAUCUCAAAACAACAGCUAGUUAUUCUACUCUUCUAGUGAGAUCUCAAAACAACAGCUAGUUAUUCUACUCUUCUAGUGAGAUCUCAAAACAACAGCUAGUUAUUCUACUCUUCUAGUGAGAUCUCAAAACAACAGCUAGUUAUUCUACUCUUCUAGUGAGAUCUCAAAACAACAGCUAGUUAUUCUACUCUUCUAGUGAGAUCUCAAAACAACAGCUAGUUAUUCUACUCUUCUAGUGAGAUCUCAAAACAACAGCUAGUUAUUCUACUCUUCUAGUGAGAUCUCAAAACAACAGCUAGUUAUUCUACUCUUCAGGUGAGAUCUCAAAACAACAGCUAGUUAUUCUACUCUUCUAGUGAGAUCUCAAAACAACAGGAAAUCAGUUCAGUUUCUCGGAAGAAAAUCAACGGUUUCCUGAAUGGGGUCAAGCAAACACUUUUUGCGGUCUGCCCAGAGGGUGUGUGGUUGCACACCCACACACACAUACACAAGCAUAAACUUCAAGAGAUCCUUCAACACAUUAGAAGUCAUAUAAACUGAAAGAGGUUAACAUAGAUUUUUUACUUGCGGUACAUGCUGUGUCUGUGUGGAGUCUGGAGUCGUUAGGGCAACAGUCCUGCCUGCUCUGCUCGAAGAAGAUGGGGCAAUAGCAGACGGGCCAAGAACGGAGAGGAGAAAAAACACCAUAAAAUCAAGAUAGCAGGCAGUUGUACAGAUUUCUCAAACACGGCAGAAAGCUAACACAAUAUGAUGCCCUGUCUCCUUAUUAAUUCAGCCACUUACUGAGAUAACUAGGAAGUUAAUGAGACGCAUUAAUGCAGAAUGCUGCGAUUUUCACUCAGACAAAAAUAUUAAACACAUAAGAAAUAUCUUGCUGCGUCUUGAAGACGCAGAUCUAAAGUGCUUCUUAUUGUCAUUUCUGCUCGGCAUCAGACACAUUUUGUGCUUCAGUUGCACUUCUCCACUCGGCUGACAGAGCUCUGACUAAUGUGUAGCUACUUUUCUUUCUCUGGUACUUUUCCAUAUAGACUAGUUUUCUCUGUUGGUUUUCCACAUAGACUAGUUUUCUCUGGUACUUUUCCAUGUAGACUAUUUUUUCCGGUAUAAUGCAAGAUUGACUUUAAGCAAAACUUUAGGAAAUGUAGCUAGAUACAUUCUGUCUAUGAUAAACAUUAGAAAUAUGAUGGCAAUGCAUCGUUUUUUGCCCAAAAUACCUUGCUUUUCAUUGUAAACUCAUUUACUUGUGUGGCUGCCAGACAAAUAGCAUUGUACUUCUGUUAUCAUCUGAUGAAAAUGAAGCUAUUUUCUGCUGAAUGUGUUGAAAAAAAAUGUAUACUGAACAAAAACAUAAACACAACAUAGAACAAUUUCAACUAUUUUACUGAGUUACAGUUCAUAGAAGGAAAUCAGUCAAUCGAAAUACAUUCAUUAGGCCCUAAUCUAUGAAUUUCACAUGACUGGGCAGGGUGGCAUCCAUGGGUGGGCCUGCGAGGGCAUAGCCCCCCCCCCCUUAAGAGCUAGGCCCAGCCAAUCAGAAUGAGUUUUAGUACAGACACAAAUACUCCUCAGUUUCAUCAGCUGUCUGGGUGGCUGGUCUCAGAUGAUCCCGCAGGUGAAGAAGCUGGAAGGGACGUCCUGGGCUGGCGUGGUUACACGUGGUCUGCGGUUGUGAGGCCGGGUUGGACGUACUGCCAUAUUCUCUAAAACAACGUCGGACGCGGCUUAUGGUAUAUAGACAAAGGCGGGUGGAUUAUCUUAUUCAAUUCUCUGGCAACUGCUCUGGUGGACAUUCCUGCAGUCAGCAUGCCAAUUGUGCGCUCCUUCAAAAUAUAGACAUCUGUGGCAUUGUGUUGUGUGACAAAUCUGCAUAUUUUAGUGGCUUUUUAUUGUCCCCAGCACAAGGUUUACCUGUGUAUUGAUUAUGAUGUUUAAUCAGAUUCUAACAGGGAUGUAAAAAAUAAAUACGCUUUUUGCAUUUUUUCUCUUAACCUAUUGUACAAGUUGACUGCAGGUAUUUACUUAAAAAGUAUCUACAGAUAUUAAAAUGUAUUGAAAAACCUCAAAGAAAUAGUUUAAACAGUAUUGAAAACCAAACCCCUAACUAUUUCCAAAUACCCCAUAUAUAUUUUAUUUAUUUAUUUAACUAGGCAAGUCAGUUAAGAGCAAAUGCGUAUUUACAAUGACGGCCUACCCCGGCCAAACCCUGACGAUGCUGGGCCAAUUGGGUGCCGCCCUAUGGGACUCUCAAUCACGGCCCGAUGUGAUAUAGCCUGGAAUCAAACCAGGGACUGUAGUGAUGCUUUUUGCACUGAGCUGCAGUGCCUUAGACCGCUGCGCAACUCGGGAGCCCUAUAGGGUAUAUACGGCAUACCGCCCAAGCCUAGUAACUGGUUAUCGUGUGUAGGAACUGCUUAUCGUGUGUGUAUAUAGCAAGCAGGGUUGUGGACAAUUCCAUUUAAAUUCCAAUCAAUUCAGAAUUAAACCAAAUUCUAAUUCCAAAUUUUCCUAAUUUAAAAGAAUAGAAAAUAAUUGGAAUUUCAGUAUACUUCCUGAAUUGACUGGAAUUGAAAUUAAGUUGACCCCAAGCCUGGUACACACAUAUUGUAUAUAUUCCAUAUAUAUUUUAUAUAGUGCCAAAUAGGGGUUUCUUUGGGUCCUAACGAUAGUAGAUCCCUUUUUCGUGCUGUAUAGAACCCUUUUUGAAAGGUUCUAUUAAGAAACAUGCUCAUACGGUUCUAAAUGGAACCUUUAUAGUGUUAUAAAGAACACUUUCCUGAGGCUCUAUAAAGAACAUGAGUCAUAUGUAACCAUCACUGGCCAUAGUCAUAUUUAACAUGUAAGGGCAUAACACAACUGAUAGACUGGAAUGACACGUUCACUCACAGUUGAAAAGGAGCCGUGAGCAAACCAAGCCCCAAAAUAUUUGAAUGAGCCGACACCCCUACAUUUUAAUUUUCACUAAAAGAGGAAAGAACCAAUUUUCAGAAAUGCAAAGAACCAUUGAAGGGCUCAAACAGUUAUUUGAGUCAUUAUGGUUCCACAUAGAACCACCAUCUAAAAAUAGCCCAUAUUAACAUAUGCAGCCUGAGGAACAAGUUCCAUGAAGUCAAUAACUUGCUUGUAACAGAUGACAUUCAUAUUCUGACAAUUUCUGAAACUCACAUAGAUAAUACCUCUGAUACAGUGGUAGCAAUACAUGAUUAUAACAUCUACCGAAAAGACAGAAAUGCCAACGGAGGUGGUUUUGCUGUUUAUAUUCAGAACCACAUUUCUGUAAAGCUUAGAGACGAUCUCAUGUUAAAUACUGUUGAAGUAAUAUGGCUACAGGUUCAUCUGCCUCACCUAAAUUACGCCCAUUCUUGUGGGAAGCUGCUAUAGACCACCAAGUGUUGACAGUCAGUAUCUGGAUAAUAUGUGUGAAAUGCUUGAUAAUGUAUGAGAUAUCAACAGAUAAGUAUAUUUUCUGGGUGAUUUAAAUAUUGACUGGCUAUCAUCAAGCUGCCCAUUCAGGAAAAAAACCAUAGUGUAACCAGUGCCUGCAAACUGGUUCAGGUUAUCAGUCAAUGUACCAGGGUAGUUACAAACAGCACAUGAAUUAAAUCAUCAACAUCUGUUGAUCACAUCUUCACUAAUGCUGCAGAUAUUUGCUUUAAAACCGUAUCCAGAUCCAUAGGAUGUAGUGAUCACAAUAUAAUAGCCAUAUCUAGGAAAACCAAAGUUUCAAAGUCUGGGCCUAAUAUUGUGUAUAAGAGGUCAUACCACAAGUUUUGUAGUGAUUCAUAUGUUGAUGAUGUAAAUAAUAUUUGCUGGUCUGUGGUGUAUAAUGAGGAGCAACCAGACACUACAUUUGACACAUUUAUGAAAUUGCUUAUUCCAGUUACUAAUAAGCACACACCCAUUAAGAAAAUGACUGUAAAAACUGUUAAAUCCCCUUGGAUUGAUGAGGAAUUGAAAAAUUAUAUGGUUGAGAGGGAUGAGGCAAAAGGUAUGACAAUUCAAUCUGGCAGCCCAACUGAUUGGCAAAUGUACUUCAAAUUUAGAACUCAUGUUACUGAACUAAAUAAAAAUAAAAAUAAACUAUACUAUGAAACAAAAAUCAAUGAUAGUAAAAUGCUUUGGAGCACCUUAAAUGACAUUUUGUGAAAAAAGGCUAACUCUCAUCAUUCAUGGAAUCAGAUGGCUCAUUCAUUCACACUUAGGUAUGACAUGUCAGCAACAAAAGCUGAUACUACACAUCCAAGUACAGUUGUAGUUGGAAGUUUACAUACACCUUAGCCAAAUACAUUUAAAAUCAGUUUUUCACAAUUCCUGACAUUUAAUCCUAGUAGAAAUUCCCUGUCUUAGGUCAGUUAGGAUCACCACUUUAUUUUAAGAAUGUGAAAUGUCAGAAUAAUAGUAGAGAGAAUUAUUUAUUUCAGCUUUUAUUUCUUUCAUCACAUUCCCAGUGGGUCAGAAGUUUACAUACACUCAGUUAGUAUUUGGUAGCAUUGCCUUUCAAUUGUUCAAACAUUUCGGGUAGCCUUCCACAAGCUUCCCACAAUAAGUUGGGUGAAUUUUGGCCCAUUCCUCCUGACAGAACUGGUGUAACUGGGUCAGGUUUGUAGGCCUCGCACAUGCUUUUUAAUUUCUGCCCAUACAUUUUCUAUAGGAUUGAGGUCAGGUCUUUGUGAUGACUUUGUUGUCCUUAAGCCAUUUUGCCACAACUUUGGAAGUAUGCUUGGGGUCAUUGUCCAUUUGGAAGACCAUUUGUGACUAAGCUUUAACUUCCUGACUGAUGGCUGAGAUGUUGCUACAAUAUAUCCACAUACAUUUCCUCCUCGUGAUGCCAUCUAUUUUGUGAAGUGCACCAGUCCCUCCUGCAGCAAAGCACCCCCACAACAUGAUGCUGCUUCAAGGUCGGGAUGGUGUUCUUCGGCUUGGAAGCAUCCUCAUUUUCUUCCAAACAUAACGAUGGUCAUUAUGGCCAAACAGUUCUAUUUUUGUUUUAUCAGAUCAGAGGACAUUUCUUUUGUACCUGUUUCCUCCAGGAAAUUCACAGGGUCCUUUGCUGUUGUUCUGGGAUUGUUUUGCACUUUUCGCACCAAAGUACGUUCAUCUCUAGGAGACAAAACCUGCUUCUCCUUCCUGAGCGGUUGGACGGCUGCAUGGUCCCUUGGUCUUUAUACUUGCGUACUAUUGUUUGUACAGAUGAACGUGGUACCUUCAGGCUUUUGGAAAUUGUUCCCAAGGAUGAACCAAACUUGUGGAGGUCUCCAAUUUAUUUUCUGAGGUCUUGGCUGAUUUAUUUUGAUUUUCGCAUGAUGUCAGGCAAAGAGGCACUGAGUUUGAAGGUAGGCCUUGAAAUACAUCCACAGGUACACCUUCAAUUGACUCAAAUGAUGUCAAUUAGCCUAUCAGAAGCUUCUAUAGCCAUUACAUACUUUUCUGGAAUUUUCCAAGUUGUUUAAAGGCACAGUCAACUUAGUGUAUGUAAACGUCUGACCCACUGGAAUUAUGAUACAGUGAAUUAUAAGUGAAAUAAUCUGUCUGUAAAUAAUUGUUGGAGAAAUUACUUGUGUCAUGCACAAAGUAGAUGUCCUAACCGACUUGCCAAAACUAUAGCUUGUUAACAAGAAAUUUGUGGAGUGGUUGAAAAACAAGUUUUAAUGACUCCAACCGAAGUGUAUGUAAACCUCCGACUCCAACUGUACAGUGCCUUGCGAAAGUAUUCGGCCCCCUUGAACUUUGCGACCUUUUGCCACAUUUCAGGCUUCAAACAUAAAGAUAUAAAACUGUAUUUUUUUGUGAAGAAUCAACAACAAGUGGGACACAAUCAUGAAGUGGAACGACAUUUAUUGGAUAUUUCAAACUUUUUUAACAAAUCAAAAACUGAAAAAUUGGGCGUGCAAAAUUAUUCAGCCCCUUAACUCUCUCCAGAAGUUCAGUGAGGAUCUCUGAAUGAUCCAAUGUUGACCUAAAUGACUAAUGAUGAUAAAUACAAUCCACCUGUGUGUAAUCAAGUCUCCGUAUAAAUGCACCUGCACUGUGAUAGUCUCAGAGGUCCGUUAAAAGCGCAGAGAGCAUCAUGAAGAACAAGGAACACACCAGGCAGGUCCGAGAUACUGUUGUGAAGAAGUUUAAAGCCGGAUUUGAAUACAAAAAGAUUUCCCAAGUUUUAAACAUCCCAAGGAGCACUGUGCAAGCGAUAAUAUUGAAAUGGAAGGAGUAUCAGACCACUGCAAAUCUACCAAGACCUGGCCGUCCCUCUAAACUUUCAGCUCAUACAAGGAGAAGACUGAUCAGAGAUGUAGCCAAGAGGCCCAUGAUCACUCUGGAUGAACUGCAGAGAUCUACAGCUGAGGUGGGAGACUCUGUCCAUAGGACAACAAUCAGUCGUAUAUUGCACAAAUCUGGCCUUUAUGGAAGAGUGGCAAGAAGAAAGCCAUUUCUUAAAGAUAUCCAUAAAAAGUGUCGUUUAAAGUUUGCCACAAGCCACCUGGGAGACACACCAAACAUGUGGAAGAAGGUGCUCUGGUCAGAUGAAACCAAAAUUGAACUUUUUUGGCAACAAUGCAAAACGUUAUGUUUGGCAUAAAGCAACACAGCUCAUCACUCUGAACACACCAUCCCCACUGUCAAACAUGGUGGUGGCAGCAUCAUGGGUUGGGCCUGCUUUUCUUCAGCAGGGACAGGGAAGAUGGUUAAAAUUGAUGGGAAGAUGGAUGGAGCCAAAUACAGGACCAUUCUGGAAGAAAACCUGAUGGAGUCUGCAAAAGACCUGAGACUGGGACGGAGAUUUGUCUUCCAACAAGACAAUGAUCCAAAACAUAAAGCAAAAUCUACAAUGGAAUGGUUCAAAAAUAAACAUAUCCAGGUGUUAGAAUGGCCAAGUCAAAGUCCAGACCUGAAUCCAAUCGAGAAUCUGUGGAAAGAACUGAAAACUGCUGUUCACAAA